AGGGAUCGUCUGAUCCUAGAGAUAGGACGUCUCCUUCGGGGGCAGAGUGACAGGUGGUGCAUGGUUGUCGUCAGCUCGUGUCGUGAGAUGUUGGGUUAAGUCCCGCAACGAGCGCAACCCUUGAUCUUAGUUGCCAGCAUUCAGUUGGGCACUCUAAGGUGACUGCCGGUGACAAACCGGAGGAAGGUGGGGAUGACGUCAAAUCAUCAUGCCCCUUAUGACCUGGGCUACACACGUGCUACAAUGGGCAGAACAAAGGGCAGCGAAACCGCGAGGUUAAGCCAAUCCCACAAAUCUGUUCUCAGUUCGGAUCGCAGUCUGCAACUCGACUGCGUGAAGCUGGAAUCGCUAGUAAUCGCGGAUCAGCAUGCCGCGGUGAAUACGUUCCCGGGUCUGGAACACACCGA
rnacentral:rRNA from 1 species